GACGAACCGUGCGAACGUUAUUCGGAAUCACUGGGCUUAAAGCGCGUGUAGGCGGGAGGGCACGUCCGUCGCUGAAAUCCCCCGGCUCAACCGGGGAACGGGCGCGGAUACGACCUUCCUGGAGGGGCGUAGGGGGACCUGGAACUUCCGGUGGAGCGGUGAAAUGCGUUGAGAUCGGAAGGAACGCCCGUGGCGAAAGCGAGGUCCUGGAUGCCUACUGACGCUGAGACGCGAAAGCCAGGGGAGCGAACGGG
rnacentral:rRNA from 1 species